rnacentral:rRNA from 1 species
AGAAUCAACGCUGGCGGCGUGCCUAACACAUGCAAGUCGAACGAGAAAGUGGAGCAAUCCAUAAGUAAAGUGGCGCACGGGUGAGUAACACGUGACUAACCUACCCUUGAGUGGGGGAUAACCUAGGGAAACCUGGGCUAAUACCGCAUAAUACCUUCGGGUCAAAGGAGCAAUUCGCUUAAGGAGGGGGUCGCGGCCGAUUAGUUAGUUGGCGGGGUAAUGGCCCACCAAGACUAUGAUCGGUAUCCGGCCUGAGAGGGCGCACGGACACACUGGAACUGAAACACGGUCCAGACUCCUACGGGAGGCAGCAGUGGGGAAUUUUGCGCAAUGGGGAAACCCUGACGCAGCAACGCCGCGUGGAGGAUGAAGUCCCUUGGGACGUAAACUCCUUUCGAUCGGGACGAUUAUGACGGUACCGAGAGAAGAAGCCCCGGCUAACUUCGCGCCAGCACGCCGC